GACGAACGCUGGCGGCGUGCUUAACACAUGCAAGUCGAACGGACAGGCCCUGCUUUUGUGGGGUGCUCUAGUGGCGAACGGGUGAGUAACACGUGAGUAACCUGCCCUUGACUUUGGGAUAACUUCAUGAAACUGGGGCUCAUACCGGGUAGGAGCUACUGCUGAAUGGUGGGGGCUGGAAAGUUUCGGCGGUUGGGGAUGGACUCGCGGCUUAUCAGCUUGUUGGUGGGGUAGUGGCUUACCAAGGCUUUGACGGGUAGCGGGCCUGGGAGGCUGACCGGCCACACUGGGACUGAGAUGCGGCACAGACUCCUACGGGAGGCAGCAGUGGAGAGGAUUGCACAAGGGGCGGAAGCCUGAUGCAGCAACGCCGCGUGCGGGAUGACGGCCUUCGGGUUGUAAACCGCGUUCGCCUGUGACGAAGCGUGAGUGACGGUAAUGGGAAAAGAAGCACCGGCUAACUACGU
rnacentral:rRNA from 1 species